rnacentral:rRNA from 1 species
UACGUAGGGUGCGAGCGUUAAUCGGAAUUACUGGGCGUAAAGGGCGCGCAGGCGGUCUUGAAAGUCAGGCGUGAAAGCCCCGGGCUUAACCUGGGAAUUGCGCUUGAUACUCUGAGACUGGAGUACGGGAGAGGAGAGUGGAAUUCCCAGUGUAGAGGUGAAAUUCGUAGAUAUUGGGAAGAACACCAGUGGCGAAGGCGGCUCUCUGGACCGUAACUGACGCUGAGGCGCGAAAGCGUGGGGAGCAAACAGG